GUGUUUUGUUCUAGGUGUGUCUGUGUGCAGUUUGUGUGCUGCUCUAGGUUGUGUCUGUGUGCAGUCUGUGUGCUGCUCUAGGUUGUGUCUGUGGGCAGUUUGUGUGUUGUUCUAGGCUGUGUCUGUGUGCAGUUUGUGUGCUGCUCUAGGCUGUGUCUGUGUGCAGUUUGUGUGCUGCUCUAGGUGUGUCUGUGUGCAGUGUGUGUGUUGUUCUAGAUUGUGUCUGUGUGCAGUUUGUGUGCUGCUCUAGGCUGUGUCUGUGUGCAGUUUGUGUGCUGCUCUAGGUGUGUCUGUGUGCAGUUUGUGUAUUGUUCUAGAUUGUGUCUGUGUGCAGUUUGUGUGUUGUUCUAGGUUGUGUUUGUGCGCAGUUUAUGUGCUGCUCUAGGCUGUGUCUAUGUGCAGUUUGUGAGCUGUUGUAGGUUGUGUCUGUGUGCGGUUUGGGUGCUGCUCGAGGCUGUGUCUAUGGGCAGUUUUAUCACAUCUUACCUUGAAGACCACAGAAGGUAUGAGCGUGGAAUAACCGCCACAAUCGUGACAUUGGUAUAAAGUACUACAGAGGUAAAGUAAGCGAAGACGGAUGCUUUCUGAAUCUCUGUACUUUGAUAUCACUCUGUGUUCAGACAGACUAUGGCCCUGAACCACAAGCCAAA